ACUUGGAGGAAUGUAUAGCAAUAGCUGAUUGCACCAACAAAUAGUUGAUGCAAUAUUGACUCUGUCAAAUAAAAUUCUAGGUAGAAUUAUGAUAAUGACAUUGUCUGCCUAUAUGUCUUGACCAAAUUACGUGCCAGCAGUCGCGGUAAUACGUAGAAGACUAGUGUUAUUCAUCUUUAAUAGGUUUAAAGGGUACCUAGACGGUAAAUCAAGCCUUCACAGGGACUAAUUUACUAGAGUUACUUACGAGGGGGUAUUAAAGUACUGCAGGUGUAGAGAUGAAAUUCUGUCAUACCUCUUUUCAAAAGAAAAAUUAUGGCACAGGUAUAGGUGAAAGCAUCCCCUUAUGUGAUAACUGACGUUGAAGGACGAAGGCUUUGUGUCGCGAACAGGAUUAGAUACCCCAGUAGUCAAAGCAGAAAAUGAUGAAUGUCAUAGAUUAGAUAAAUAGUUUAUUCUAUAAAUGAAAAUGUAAGCAUUCCACCUCAAGAGUAAUUUGGCAACAUUGGAACUGAAAUCAUUAGACCGUUUCUGAAACCAGUAGUGAAGUAUGUUGUUUAAUUUGAUGAUCCGCAAAAAACCUUACCACAAUUUGAAUAUUUAUAUCUAUCUUUUUUUUUCGUAAAAAAAUAAAAAGGUAAUAUAUUUACAAGCGUUGCACGGCUGUCUUCAGUUAAUGUCGCGAGACUUUGGUUAGUUCCAUUAAAUUAACGUAAACCCUUACUUUAUUUUUAUAUGAAGUAGUUCCCCGCUAUAUUGGAUAUGAUAA
rnacentral:rRNA from 1 species